GAUCGAGAGGUGUAUGUAGUUGUGUCUGUAUCAGGACGCGAUGUGGUUUCUCUAGCCUGUGAUGUGGUUGUAUCUAAAUCAACAGGCCGAGUAGAAUACUCAUCUCUGAUGGACGUUCGAUCGGUACCAUCGGUGGUUGUAUACGAUCGAGAGGUGUAUGUAGUUGUGUCUGUAUCAGGACGCGACGUGGUUUCCCCAGCCUGUGAUGUGGUUGUAUCUAAAUCAACAGACCGAGUAGUAUACUCAUCUCUGAUAACCGAGCGAUCGGUACCAUCGGUGGUUGUAUACGAUCGAGAGGUGUAUGUAGUUGUGUCUGUAUCAGGACGCGACGUGGUUUCUCUAGCCUGUGAUGUGGUUGUAUCUAAAUCAACAGGCCGAGUAGUAUACUCAUCUCUGAUAACCGAGCGAUCGGUACCAUCGGUAGUUGUAUACGAUCGAGAGGUGUAUGUAGUUGUGU